CAGAACGAACGCUGGCGGCGUGCCUAAUACAUGCAAGUCGAACGAGAAAGUGUAGCAAUACAUUAGUAAAGUGGCAGACGGGUGAGUAAUACAUAGGUAACCUACCUCUAUAUUGGGGAUAACCUUCCGAAAGAGGGCUAAUACCGAAUGAGACCACAGGGACACAUGUCCAAGGGGGUUUAAAGACGGCCUCUACUUGUAAGCUGUCGUAUAGAGAUGGGCUUAUGCACCAUUAGCCUGUUGGUAAGGUAACGGCUUACCAAAGCUACGAUGGUUAGCUGAUCUGAGAGGUUGAUCAGCCACACUGGAACUGAGACACGGUCCAGACUCCUACGGGAGGCAGCAGUAGGGAAUAUUGCGCAAUGGAGGAAACUCUGACGCAGCGACGCCGCGUGGGUGAUGAAGGCCUUCGGGUCGUAAAGCCCUGUCGAAUGGGAAGAAACAUUCUAUGGCUAAUAUCCAUAGGACUUGACGGUACCAUUAGAGGAAGCACCGGCUAACUACGUGCCAGCAGCCGCGGUAA
rnacentral:rRNA from 1 species